rnacentral:lncRNA from 10 species
ACACUCCAGUCCAUUGAAACUAGUGGUAUUGUGAUUGCAGGUGUUUUUGUGUGUUUGUCCGGGGGGACUUUGUAAUCCUGGUGCCGGGUUGAACGAAAACCUCAGCCUCUGUUAGUAUUGUCUGAAACACACUGCUUGAGGAGUGUGUGUUAAGGACACUCUAAAAAAGAGACUUGUGGGAGGUUUCAGGCAUUUGGAAGUUUUAGAUACGACUUCAAGUAAGAUUCACUUUCGGGUGAGGUAUUUAUAUCAGCCAGAGUCCCAGCAGGAAGAUGGCAUCUUCCACAAGAUAAGUGGGCCAAGUUUAAAGAUGAGAUGAUCUACACAGGUCUGGGCAGGGCUAUGGGGUUCCCCAGGGGUGGAGGUGCCCCAGGGAGGGGAGUAGCACUAGCACUAAGCCUGAGAGUGCAGCCUGUGCAGUCACCUGUCAGUGCUCAGAGAGUCCCCGUGCUUCGUUUAACCCUCUGCUGUCACAUUCUUGAAAUCUCGAAUACUUUUUGAACAAGGGUUUUUGCAUUUCAUUUUGGCCUUGGGCCCUGCAAAUAAUGUAGCCCAUCUGCUUCGACCUCCUCCAAGUCUGAAGAGACAAAGGGAGGAAGGAAUGACAUUGGUUGGAGCCCAGCUAUGGGAAGGGCUGUUUAAUAGGGUCUGUUGUCUGAGGCCAGGCGCAGUGGCUCAUGCCUGUAAUCCCAGCACUUUGGGAGGCUGAGGCGGGAGGAUCACCGAGGUCAGGAGUUCGAGACCAGCCUGGCCAAGAUGGCGAAACCCCAUCUCUACUGAAAAUACAAAAAUUAGCCAGGUAUUGUCAUGCAUGCCUGUAAUCUCAGCUAUGUGGGAGGCUGAGGCAGGAGAAUCGCUCAAACCUGGGAGAUAGAGAUUGCAGUGAGCCGAGAUGGCACUGCUGCACGCCAGCCUGGGCAACAGAGCAAUACUCUGUCUAAAACAAAAACAAAAAACAGGGUCUGUGGCCCAAUACAGCAGCUACCAUCAUAACUGAGGCUUCCUAUGGAGGAAGAGGGUAUAAAUUCCCUGGCUCUUUCUCCUCCACCCUCAUGAAUCCUGCCAGUGCCUCCCACUGGCUGAAACGCACGAGAGCCUGUAAAUUCCCCAGGCACAGAACGAGGAUGUGAACUGCAGGUAGAAGACCUGGAGGGGGAAGGGAGACUAACGGCACACAUGUAUGCAAAGAAUCAAACGAUCUGCCCUUCCGCAGCCUGCAGGCUCCUACCUGUAUGGCACCUUCCUGCUCAGCCUCUAGAAACCACACCAUCCUCCAGGACCAUCCCAACAUCUUUGCUGCCCAUCCAGCUUGUUCACCUCCUCUGAGCCACUUGUAUAGCAUAUCUGAUCUGACUCCAUAUAUUUAUGCAUUUAAAACUGUAUAAAUAAUUUUAAAAAUUUAAAGGACAUACUUGAGGACCAUCUGAGAUACGGAAAUGAGAAGCACAGUCCCUGCUGGGGUAAACAGCUGCCCACAGUUGGUUCACACUCUUGGCUGGUCCCCUUCUAAGUGAGUCUAGCCUUAGCCAUGUGACUUGUUUGGCCAAUGGGACAACAGCAAAUGUAACACAAGUAGAGGGUUGAAACGUGCGUGCACAUCGAGUCCUGCCCUGUCUUGCUGCUGAAAACUGCUGCCACCACGUGAACAAGACUGGGUUGAUCACAUGAAGGAUAAGAGGUCCUAAUUAUCCCAGCAAUCCACACCAUGCCCGCUGAGGCCCCAGAAGCCCAAGGGAGGCCACAGAGACCAUCCAGCACUACACAGCUGGCCCAGACCAGAAAAUCCUCCCUCAAGGAACUUAAAGAAUAGUCCUGAACCUGCAGGAGACAGAUGUGUGGGCCAACAGUGACAGAGAGCACAGCAGUUACUUUGUCAGAGGCUUGUGUGGGUCAAGUGUGCAGAGCAGGGGAGCGUGGAGGGGGCCUGUGGGGACAGGAAGGACUGACAGAGGCCACCACAUAGGAGCUGAGACCUGCAGAAGGAGCAGACGCUGGCAAGUGUACCAGCAGCAGGAGGAUGCUCCCAGUGUUGGAGGACCCCAGAUGCAGGUAGACAUGAGGCAGACCUUGGCAUCUGAGGGCUCUGCAGGAAUCGUGUGCUGCUAAGGGGAACCUAUGAGAUGGGCUCACCCUGAAACAGAGAUGCUUCCUGCAGCCUGGCGCGGAAACUCAAGGGAAAGAUUGGCCAACUGAUUGUUCUCUUAAAUAUUCGGUUUGACUUUCCAGGUUUUUAUUACUUUUUAUUACCCACAUUUGGUGCGAGGGCAAAUCUGUUUAUAGACACCAUCGGCAGGGCCUUUGUGAGCAAGUCUGGGACUCUGCGAAAAAAUUCUUUGGGAGCCAGCAAGGGCAUAUGUGUAUGAUAUAGACCACCCAGGCACCCACCAGACCCCCAAGUUAUUUGUACUUUCAUCCUUCCACCCUGCUGGGCAAUUUAAAGUGAUUCGAGAUGAGACUUAAGGUUGUUAGUUAUUCAGCUGGUCUUGAAACCACCUUUGCAAAGAUUAUGACAGUAAGAAAAGUCUAGGUGGCUGACUCCAUCUUGCUUCUAGCCUCACAGGCUAGCUGUCCUUGCUCAUUCCUGGGCAUAGGCCAAGCUAACCACAGGAUGAAUUUAGUUUAUAAUUUAGCUUUGAAGCAAGAAUGAUAAUAGUUCCUUCCUAAAAUAGAUCCCCUCCUGGCUCAGAGACUGACACUGCCUUUGUAAAACUAAUGAAAGGCCAUGAAAUUAGGAUUAUGGGAGGGGCCGAAUUCUGCUAAAAUGUAGCUAUAAUUCCUAGCUGCUCAAGAGUCAUGUGGCCACAGAUCACAAGACUAGUGACUUCCCCCAAUAGCUCCCUAGUAAUGUCACUAUUGUGGAGCCUAAGAUUGGUCUUUUGAAAUGUUUUUCAGACUUUUGCAUUCUGGUGAUCAACAGACUCCACCCAGACCCAUGACUCAUGACUCAGUCAGUUCUGUGGCCCCACCCAGAGGUGGACUCAUUGCACAAGGGCCCUUUUCCACACCCUUAUGAUUUCAUCUCCGACCAAUCAGCAGCACCCAUUCCCUAGUCCCCUGCCCAUGAGACUGUCCAUAAAAGCCUAGCCUCUGAGUUCUUGGGAGACUGAUGUGAAUAAUAAACUCUCAAAUACUGCUUGGCUAGCCUUGAGAUAAUUAAACUCUCUACUGCAAUACUGCUGUCUCGCAAAAAGGAUCCAUGGGUAUCUAUAUUCUCUCUCUCUCUUACAUUCUCUCUGUCUCUCUCUCUCUAUUUUUGCAGUUCCCAGGGAACACUGGAAAAUGCAGUUUGUAGGGAAACAUCUUUCUUUCCAGCUCUUUUGAUGCCAAUAGCAACAAAGAGGCCACAUGACAUGCUCUGUGCUUCUUGGAGCAGAGCCCAGGGUCUAGUGGUUAACAGGGACAACUAAACUGUACUCUUCGGCCAUCAUAUCCAGGAUGCCACAUACCAUGCCUGGAAAAAAGUCCUCACUCAUGCUUAUUCUUGCUGUCACUCUCAUCUCUCUUGACCCCUUCUAUGACAGUUCAACACAAUUCACACUUUGUUAUUGUGUGAAAGAAAAAAAAAUUUUUUUUCCUCAUGAAGAUCUUGAAGAGAGCUGUUUCUGAGCGAUCAACCUGACUGUUGCAAGAAGGCAUGUGUUGACAUGUUGAUAUGACUGUGCUUUUCUUUCUUUUCAUUGUGAUUUGCUUAGUGGGGCAGCAGACAGAGAGGUGGGGCAGAGAUCCCUGUGAUCCUCAGAGGGACUGUGAAGGGCUGGGACUGCUGCCUUAGACCAAGUUUUCUUGUCAAUUGCAAUGUCUGCGUCAAAAUUUUUCUCCAAAUGAUGGUGGAGAUCCAGCACCUCAGCAGCGAGAAUUUGCCACGUGAAACAUAAACCAAAUUAUGCAAAACCCAUAAGACAUGUGAGCCAUCUGGGGGAUAAGGAUGUCUUCCCAACCAAGACUGGAAAUUCAGAAGCUAAAAUGAAAAAAAGUAGACUUAUUUCUAAAAUUUAAAAUAAAUACGAAAUUUUUAUGGCAAAAUGCAACAUAAAGUCAUCAAGCAGGACAUUUGGGGGAAAAUGAUAAUGCAGAGGACAAAGAUAUUACAUUUACACAAAGAGAUUUUAUAAAUCAACAAGGAGAAAAGUAUGAAUAAUUAUAGCAUUUGUGAACUUAUUAGCAACCUAGUAAAUAUUUUUAAAAAGAUUAUACCCUAUGACUUAACAUUCCAGGAUAUGUGUAUGAGGAUAUUUGCUAAGCUUUAUUCAAUAUGGCAAAGCAAAACAAAACAAAACAAAAAAUCUUGAAGCAUUUACUGAGCACAUUCUGCAUGGCAGAAACUGUGUUAAGUCCUCAUUCAACUGUUUGAACAGCACAAUGAGUCGGCCAUUAGACACAGCCCCUUAUUAGGAUGAGAAACUCUAGACUCAGAGAAGGCAAGCAAUUCAGUCAAGAUUAUACAAAGAAGCUACAUGGCAGUAAAUGCCAGAUAUGAAAAAAGAUGAAGCUAAAAAUGAAAAAAAAAGAAUAACAUCAAGAAAUGUAAAAGACAGAACUAAAACUUAAAGCUAAGGCCAGGAACGGUGGCCCACACCUGUCUUCCCAGCACGUUGGGAGGUUGAGGUAGGCAGAUCGUUUGAGCCCAGGAGUUUGAGACCAGCCUGGGCAACAUGGUGAAACCCUGUCUCUACAAAAAAUACAAAAAUUAGGGCUGGGCGCCAUGGCUCAUGCCUGUAAUCCCAGCACUUUGGGAGGCUGAAAGGUCAGGAGAUCGAGACCAUCCUGGCUAACAUGGUGAAAC